rnacentral:rRNA from 1 species
UACCAGCACCCCGAGUGGUCGGGGCGAUUAUUGGGCCUAAAGCCUCCGUAGCCGGUCCUGCAAGUCUUCCGUUAAAUCCAGCUGCUCAACAGAUGGGCUGCGGGAGAUACUACAGGGCUAGGAGGCGGGAGAGGCAAGCGGUACUUUAUGGGUAGGGGUAAAAUCCGCUGAUCCAUAGAAGACCACCAGUGGCGAAGGCGGCUUGCCAGAACGCGCUCGACGGUGAGGGAUGAAAGCUGGGGGAGCAAACCGG